GGGUGAGGGGGAGCCGCCGCCUCUCGGCCCGGACGGAUCCACCGGGUGAUAAAAUCACGGUAUCGAACAUGUUGGAAAAGACCUCUGAGGUCAUCGAGUCCGACCUGUGGCCCUACACCACCUUGUCUAGCAGACCAUGGCACCGAGUGCCACGUUCAGUCUUUCCUUAAACAUGUCCAGGUGUUGAUAUCUGCUGUAGAAGCAAAUAGAGACAUCAGUAGUCAUCUAUGAAAAAAGAAGCUCCAAUGCUAUUGUUGAUAUUGUUGUGGUUUAUCCAACGGCUCCAGGUCCCUGCUGUGCUGUGAAAUAACAAAGCAGCUCCUUUGCUGACACCUGCACUUCCAUUCUCACCUCCAUUAAUUCCCUGCAUUGAUUAGAAAGUAAUCAUCAUCAUCAUCAUCAUCAUCAUAUUCCCAGAAAUAUUUAGGAAGUGCAGAAACCCAGCUGCAUCCUGCACAUGGUGGGCUAGUGUGCUUGUGUAAGUCCAAGCCAGGAAACUCCUCAUCCCCUGAACAGCUGCCUCUGCAAGGCUGCUUCCAAAUAUCUGCAUCCUGGCAGGAUUUCUUCCUUUAUCCCUUGGCUGUUCAUCACCUCUCCCCUGCUCGCCACCCACUUCAGCCCACCUGGCACCCAUUCUGUGGCCAGGGCCAGGACUGCCUCCUGCUUUGCCUUCAACGCCCUGCUCCAAGGCUUCCCUCUCCAGUCUUAAACCAGAGGCUUAAGAUCUCCAGUACCAACCACCAUGAAAAAGAAACCAACCCAUAUCCAGCAAUAACUUCUGUGCAGAAACAGGAGCUUACUGGGAAAGUCUGGUUUUCUGUUCAGCAUGUUGAGUCACACUGUGGUUCUGGGGGAGCUGAAACCACUCCAGGAAUUCUUGAGACUGUGCUAAAAAGAGCCUGAUUUAUUGUGCUGAGGAGCAAAACCAUCCCUGGCUGUGGGUAAUAAACAACUACCGAUGGAGGCACAGAAAGCAGUGAUGUUAAAGAAUAUAAAAUUGAAUAUAUUUCUUAGUGACACAGUUAUUCAGGAGAACCAAGCCAUGGAGCACUUCACAUAUUGCAGUACAGCACUGCCAAGCUCUAGACCGGCACCUUACUGGACCAGCAUCUGCACCAGUGUGGGGCAAUGAGAAAUACCCUGCCUGGGGGAAUUCACAGCCACGCUGAAGACCAAGAGAGGACCUAUAGCUACCAGAAGAUAAAGAGGGACCGACACUGAACUCCUGUGGGCAGAAUACCAGUAACCUUCAUGAGAGUGGAGAGAAACACACCACUGCUGAAUUUUGGAGAGAACAUGGCAUAUUUGUCAUUGUUGGAACGACUGGGAGCCUUUCACCAUCUUCAGCUCUGCAGUGGGAUCCUCCAUCCAAGCCUGUGACUGGGCAUGAGUUGGUGGUUAUGGGAGGAAGCAGAAAAAAGUGUUUGCUGCUGUGCUGAUUUAAUUUUAAGCUUUCACCCAAGGAAGGCUGAGUCAAAGCUGCCUUGCUCCUCACAUGGGCCAAAAGCACCCUGUGGCGUUCAGCAGCAAGGUGCUGUUCUCAGCUGGCUUCUGCUUCAUUUCCUUCUCAGCCCCUCAGCCAGCUCCAUGACGUGCCAGCGAGUACAAUUUCCCGUUUCCUUCCUCAGCUAAUCCUGAAAGGGACAGUAAAUAACAAGAGGAGUCCUUCAUAAGCAGAUAUGAAGUACUCACAUCUGCAGCAUGCUACUAAACUUACACGAUAAUUUGUUGUCAGAAUAUCUAUUGGUAUGAGCAGCACUGCACUUGGAGAGGCCUGUGCUACAGAAUGUCUCAUUUCUCCAAGGUUUCCUCUGCAGCAGGGUCCUCCCUUUCUUCCUCCUGGAGGUGAUUCUGCUGAGCUGGAUGGAGCUGACCGGAAAAUGAACAGAAAAAAACAAAAUCAAAAAUACAAAACAAAACAAAAACCCCAAAACCCCAAACUCAUUUUAUGUGAAAACAUCAAACCAAAGGUUGAGAUUCUUAACCGAAAGAGGGAGAUUUAAGAAUCUUUUAAAUGCAACUUUUUUCUUUAACAGCUGGCUCCGAGAUGACCAAUAGAUAAUCUCUUUUCACAGCUGAAAAGGCAGCACAAA